rnacentral:lncRNA from 1 species
GUUUCGAUUUUCAAUAAUUAGAAUCAUUUUAUCUCCUCGUGCCUGUUUGAUUACAACUUAAUGGAUAUUAUUGAUUCAAUAUCUGAUUCAUUAAGCAUUCAGAUUAUUUGUUUGAGACAAAUAAAGGUCUGGAAUGGUCUGACCGAAACAGCCAAAUUUUCCUAACUUACUCUAUGAUCAAAUCUCUCAUCACAGAAGACUAUAUCGUAAUUCCUUCAAUUAGCUGGCAUUGUUCUUCCUCUUCUUCUCCGGCCGGCGACGUCCAACAAAUCAGUUAAGUCUUCUAUUUUUCUUCUUUUAUGUGCCCACCAUUCUUUCUCCUAAUUCAUUGCACUAGUAUUAUUUUUUCCUUCCUCUUAACGUUAGGACUUACGAAUUAGAGAUUUCCCGACUAAAUAUCUUUUUUGCUGUAAUAGGCAAGCUUUUUGAAAAAACUGAGUGCGAUUUGCGGAAAAAAAAAAUGAAUAUUAUGGGGAGUAGAACAUUGGCAGGAAAAAGGUAAAAUAGAUUCUGGGUGUUAUUAUUUUUUUAUUGCGAGUAUGAAGUACAAUUGAGUUCUUUUGUAUACUGAAAGCCAUUGUAAUUACUUCAGUUGAUAUUUUUGUUGCAUUUCUUUGAUGAGUUUAAUUUGUUCCUAAUCAAUCCUUAUAUAUAAAUACUGCACAUCAUCUCCAACUCAAUCAAUUUCAAAAUCAAUUAAGAGUUCACUCGCUCAAUUAGAAAAAAUUCACUGUAAAUUGGAACCCAGACAAAACCGUUCCCCAAUUCUUCCUCUUCUUCUUCUUCACUACCCUCACCCCUAUUUCACUUCCAUAUACCUAUUCCCCUUCUCUGGCUCCUUUCAAUUUCUCACCACCAAAAACGAGUUCAUGAACUUGGUCGCCUCACCGACCCUUCUUCUUCCUCCUAGACCUCCACCUUCCUCGCUGCCGCCUCGACCCGUGGCGAUGUCUCGCCAGCAGCGAAACUGGCUUCCAUAGUCUGACAG